rnacentral:rRNA from 1 species
CGGCGUGCUUAACACAUGCAAGUCGAACGAUGAAGCCUAGCUUGCUAGGUGGAUUAGUGGCGCACGGGUGAGUAAUAUAUAGAUAACGUGCCUCUUAGUCUGGGAUAGCCAUUGGAAACGAUGAUUAAUACUAGAUACUCCUUCUAACUCUAAUGUUAGUCGGGAAAGUUUUUCGCUAAGAGAUCGGUCUAUAUCCCAUCAGCUAGUUGGUAGUGUAAGAGACUACCAAGGCAAUGACGGGUAGCGGGUUUGAGAGGAUGAUCCGCCACACUGGUACUGAGACACGGACCAGACUCCUACGGGAGGCAGCAGUGAGGAAUAUUGCACAAUGGAGGAAACUCUGAUGCAGCAACGCCGCGUGGAGGAUGACGCAUUUCGGUGUGUAAACUCCUUUUAUAUGUCAAGAAAAUGACGGUAGCAUAUGAAUAAGCACCGGCUAACUCCGUGCCAGCAGCCGCGGUAAUACGGAGGGUGCAAGCGUUAUUCGGAAUCACUGGGCGUAAAGGACGCGUAGGCGGGAUGCCAAGUCUGAUGUGAAAUCCUAUGGCUUAACCAUAGAACUGCAUUGGAAACUGGUAACCUAGAGUAUGGGAGGGGGAGAUGGAAUUAGUGGUGUAGGGGUAAAAUCCGUAGAUAUCACUAGGAAUACCGAAAGCGAAGGCGAUCUCCUGGAACAAUACUGACGCUAAGGCGUGAAAGCGUGGGGAGCAAACGGGAUUAGAUACCCCGGUAGUCCACGCCCUAAACGAUGUUCACUAGUCGUCGGGAUGCUAGUCAUCUCGGUGAUGCACUUAACAGAUUAAGUGAACCGCCUGGGGAGUACG